GAUGAAGAACGUAGCGAAAUGCGAUAAGUAAUGUGAAUUGCAGAAUUCAGUGAAUCAUCGAAUCUUUGAACGCACCUUGCGCUCCUUGGUAUUCCGAGGAGCAUGCCUGUUUGAGUGUCAUGAAAUUCUCAACCUUUUCAGCUUUCUUUGUUGAUCAGGCUUGGAUGUGGGAGUAUGCGGGCUUCUCAGAAGUCGGCUCUCCUGAAAUGCAUUAGCGGGACCUUUGUUGCCUGGCUUUGGUGUGAUAAUUAUCUACGCCAUUGUAAUCAAGCAGCUUAAAAUGAGGUUUCAGCUUCUAACCGUCUCCCCUGAGACAACUUUUUGACAAUUUGACCUCAAAUCAGGUAGGACUACCCGCUGAACUUAAGCAUAUCAAUAAGCGGAGGA
rnacentral:misc_RNA from 1 species